GCACGGAUGCCCGAGUGGUUAAGGGGGUGGACUUAAGUUCCCCUGAUCGGAAGAUCGCGUGGGUUCGAACCCCANCCGAGUGGUUAAGGGGGUGGACUUAAGUUCCCCUGAUCGGAAGAUCGCGUGGGUUCGAACCCCACUCCGUGCA
rnacentral:tRNA from 1 species